CUUUCAUAAUUGUUCUUUUUUAUUUAUAUAUAUUAGUGAAUAUAUUAGUGAAUAUUUAUAAUAUGUAUUGAUUAUCGUAAUUAGAAAUUCUUUAGCGAUUAAAUUAUUCUUUUUCUUUCAUUUAUCAAUAUUUUAGAAUGACAGGUUAGGGUUAGAAAUAUUUUACAUUUUGACUUUUUAAAAUUAAAUUUGUGCUUGAUCAUUAUUUUAUUUUAAUAUAUUUAAUUAGUUUUAUACACUUAUGUAAUAAUUUUGAUUUUAUUUCGUGCAAAUUAUUAUAAGUGCUUUCCGAGUUCGGCGGGAAGAACUUCGAAGGCGGGAAAAAUUCCAAUAUGGACGCCAUCAAGCUUUUUUCAUCGACGAUGACAUGGUAAAAUCUAAUAUUUUAGAAUUUUUGCGACCACGUACAAUGUGGUCAGUAGAAUCAGUGUUUGCUUCGUAAAUUUUUUUAAUCUUUCAGUGGAUACGCGAAAUUAGAAUCAGUGUUUGUUCGUUGUAAUUUAAAUUAUAUUGCAUUUAUUUAUAAAAUAUAUGUUUCGGGUUUAUAUUCGAGUCAGUGUUUCUUUUAAGAAAAGAAAGCAUCAUUUGAAUAGUUUUGUGAUUUCCUGUUACAUGAUGAUAAUAACUUCUGGACCACGACACAAUGAAGGCGUUCAUCGCAUCAUAUGGUGAGUCGCAUGUUUUUUGAUUCCUCCGAUCAUUCAACCAUGUCGUAGGAUGAAAGAUCCGAAUCGACACGAAUGAUUGGUUGUAUACGUAGAAUUUUGCACGAGCAUAGUGACCACGAAUAUUUAUUAUAUUCGUGAAUAGUAACAUUUUCUUUGUACAUGUUUUAUUUAUUAGAUUAGGCUAGGUUUUCUUGUACAUCAAAUUGUUUAAUAUUAGUAUUAUUCUAAUAAUUUAUUUAUUGAUAUGAAUAUUAGAGUUUAUUUAAUAUAGAUAUUAGAAAACAUUCAGUAUUUACAAAUAUUCGUGUGCAAGUUAUACAAAUAUUCAAAUAAAUAGUAAAUAAUGAAAUAAAAAAUAAUUUUUUAAUUUUUCUUUUCUUUCAUGAUAAUAUUUGAUUUAGUUAUUUGACUUUUA